rnacentral:rRNA from 1 species
UACAGAGGGUGCGAGCGUUAAUCGGAAUUACUGGGCGUAAAGCGUGCGUAGACGGUUAUUUAAGUCAGGUGUGAAAGCCCCGGGCUCAACCUGGGAAUUGCAUUUGAGACUGAAUAGCUAGGGUGCGGAAGAGGGAAGCGGAAUUUCCGGUGUAGCGGUGAAAUGCGUAGAUAUCGGGGGGAAUACCAGUGGCGAAAGCGGCACCCUAGCGUUAGACCUGACGCUCAUGUGCGAAAGCGUGGGGAGCGAACGGG